rnacentral:lncRNA from 1 species
UUUUUUUUUUGAGCACUCCAUAGCCUCAGUAAUAGUAUCAGGCCUUGGGAUCUGUUAAGCACUGAGUGAGUGUUCAUCCCUGCACUGGUGCUCUGGUGAGCACUGAAUGACCUGUCCUAAGUACCUUAUCAACACUUAUGUCAGUAAACCGAAUGGUUCCCAGAGGUGAAAUGGGAUCUGCUAUAGUUGAAGUGCCGUGCACACAAACACAGUAGUUGUUUGGCUCAUGACUGGUGUGACCUCCGCACAGAUGGGUCCUUCCAAAUAGCCUUGGAAGGCUCUUGUCCUAGUCUGGAGGGCCUUCCUUGGUUCCUUCUGCUGCCUGGACACACAGCUUCUCUGUUUAGCUUCUACCCAACAUAUCCUGAUGCAUUUGUUCUGUACAAAGACUAUAGCUUCCUCUAAGAGAUCCAAUAGGGCAACAGCAAUUUACCUACCUGGCUACUGUUUUCUGGUUUUGCUAAUUCAUUGUUCCGGGUUACCUCUCUGAUUUCUCCUUGCAGUGUGGUGACACAUGGAUGCACAAAUGUUCCUAUUACCUCUCUGCUCCACGCAUUUCCUACGCGGAACACUUUGUGGAGAAAGAACAAGAACAAAAGCUUGUUUUCCUGUAAGGCCUCCUGUCAAGGUUGCCUGGCUCCUCUGUUCUUCAUCUCCUGGCAAGAUGGAGAUAGAGGAGACCAAAGAUGCACCGGCAGGGAAUCGAGGGCAGGAGGUGCGCCCUGAAACACACUCCCUCCUCAGAAACUAAGUUUCUCCACCUCAGGCAGAUAUGACAAGGCUUCCUCUCUUUGAUGUCAUAUAUGUGCAUGAGCACUUUGCUUCUGUUUGAGCCAUGAGACUUUCCUCAUCUGUGAAAUGGGAGUGUAACACCCAGGUUGGGUGGGAAAAUCAAAUGAGAUAAUGUACUUGAUGCAUAGUGAGUUUUAGAGUAACAGCUGAUUGUGUCUCCCAACCUCCCUGUCCUGUCCUCCACAGAGCCUACUGGGGUUUCAACAGCCCCUGCAUAGAGGAAAGGGAUGCCAUACUCAGUAUUCCUGCUGCCGGUCCUCUCUUCCUGGUUAAACAGGAACAGUAAGAUCAAAGAUUGGAUUCUGAGGUACCAUCUCACCAGGUCAUUUCAGCCUGUGUGGGUACUUCCUUCUCCUGGCUGUCAUCGGCCCAAUGCCUGAACACCAAGCUACCUCAGGCAUCAGUGCAACCCCCAACGUGGGUAUCUGAAACCCUGAUGUUGAGGGGUGUCUCUGCAGCAUCUGGCCUCCGGCCUCAGCAGAACUCCUGGCAGAGGUGGUGGUAUAGCGUCCCAGGCAGUGUCGCAGAGCUGGGGAGGGGAAGGGCAGAGCCUGAGCUGCAGUCCUCCUUCUCCCUCCCUGGCCCUCGGUGGUUGCUAAGCAGUUUCUAUGGCAGCAGCAUCCUCAGACUCAACUUUCACCCUCAUUUAGAGCCAAUUAAGGUAAAAUAGUGAGGGGCGGGAGCGGAGUGGCAACAUAACGGGAGGCAGGGAAGCACUUGGAGGCUGUGAGCAAAGCUUUACUCUGUCAGACGCAAAGGCACAGACAUCCAGACGCAGCUGCAGUCGUCUUGCCUCGCUGCAGCCUGCUGAGCUUGCUGAGCCUGCCGAGCAGCCGCACUGAAGACCUCAGGACCCUUGCCAGCACUGGAGAUCUGAGAUCGUCAGGUGUGCCUUUCCCACUCUCUGCUCCAGCCUGGCCUGCUGCCCCAGCCCCUGACAUCCCAUCACGCCGAUUCUCUGGCUGCUUGGCACCUGUGUUUAUUUACUUUCUUACUAUCCACACUUGAUUGGAAGGAAGAAAGGGAAAGUUUUUAAAAAAUGCCCAUCGCACAGUUGCUGGAACUAUGGAAGAAGAUCGAGGUGGAACCCAUGGAGACAGAGACCGCCGAAGAGGAACUCGCCUUGGAUGUUGAGCCCACCCCAGAAGAUACCACAGAAGAAAAAUCGUCAACAGCCAACAACCACACAACAACAUCGCAACUGGAGUUUGGACCAGCAUCUAUGCUCCAUGACCCAGCCACAUGGGCAUAGUAGUUAUCUCCCUGAGGAUCGAAGGGCCAUGAUGAACCAGAGGGCAAAGGAGACACAACCUCCUCAGCUGAGACGCAGCCAGCCUCCUCAUCGUCCGCAGAGGAUGGACGAUGGCAAGACUAAGCCUGUCUCAAUGUGGGAUAUCUGAAUUUACACACACUCCAAUAAAUUGUGGAAUUACA